GAACGGCACCCAGGUGCUGCAGUACAGCCGGGACGUGCGGAAGCUCCACCUGAGCAUCAACGUCACCAAUGUGCCCACCACCCCCUCCAACGGUGAGGAUGCCCACGAGGCGCUGCUCAACAUCACGGUGCCGGCCAGCCUGCUGCCCUCCUCCGUCCGCCCGAGCGGAGCCUGUACGUUUACGGAGACGGUGCUGUGCGAGCUGGGCAACCCUUUCAAGAGGAACCAGAGGGCAGAGCUGAUCAUCACCUUCGAGGCCAUCGGGAUCAUGCUGGACACACGG